rnacentral:sRNA from 1 species
AUCUAGCCCCGAUAGAAAUGGAAAUCCUUUUAUGUCUCGUUUUUUCACGAGACAUAAAAGAUUGGAAUGGAUAGCGGGACAAAAC